CGGACGGGUGAGUAACGCGUGGAAAACCUGCCGUAUACUGGGGGAUAACACUUAGAAAUAGGUGCUAAUACCGCAUAAGCGCACAGCUUCGCAUGAAGCGGUGUGAAAAACUCUGGUGGUCUACGAUGGUUCCGCGUCUGAUUAGCUAGUUGGUGGGGUAAUGGCCUACCAAGGCAACGAUCAGUAGCCGGCCUGAGAGGGUGAACGGCCACAUUGGGACUGAGACACGGCCCAAACUCCUACGGGAGGCAGCAG
rnacentral:rRNA from 1 species